GGUUUUUGUACGUGGCCUAAGGGAGCCCGGGGCAAUGUGACUACUUUGACUACUGGGGCCAGGGCACCAUGGUCACCGUCUCCUCAGAGAGCGUGUCUGCUCCCAACGUCUUCCCCCUCGUCUCCUGUGAGAACUCCCUGUACGAUGAGCGCCUGGUGGCCAUGGGCUGCCUGGCCAAGGACUUCCUGCCCAUCCCCGUCACCUUCUCCUGGAAAUUUAAGAACACCAGCGACAUCAUCAACCAGAACAUCCAGACCUUCCCAUCGGUCCUGAGGGGAGGCAAGUACGAGGCCAGCUCGCAACUGCUCCUGCCCAGCGCUGACAUCCUCCAGGGCACGGACGAGUUCGUGACGUGCAAGGUCAAACACUCCAAUGGCGAAAAAGAGGUGCAAGUGCCCAUCCCAGGUGAGCGAGGCCUCCCCCCUGGCGGGCGGGCGGGCGAGGGGGGUGGGCAGCCUUGUCCCCUCCCCCCGCGACUCCUUCACUGGCCCCGGCCCCCGCACGUCCACGCUCAUCUGCCAGGCCACAGGCUUCAACCCCAGGAAGAUUGCGGUGUCCUGGCUGAAGGACGGGAAGCCGCUGAACUCCGGCAUCGUCACGGACAAACCAGAGGUCGAGCGCAAAGCCCGCCCCGUGACCUACAGGGUCACCAGCAGGCUGACCAUCACCGAGAGCGACUGGCUCAGCCAGAGCGUGUUCACCUGCCAAGUGGAACACCAGGAGCUGAUCUACCAGAAGAAUGUGUCGUCCAUGUGCGGCCCCAGUUCGUCCACCAUCCGAGUCUUCACCAUCCCCCCAACCUUUGCCAGCAUCUUCCUCACCAAAGAGGCCACUCUGUCCUGCCUGGUCACGGACCUGGCCACCUAUGACAGCCUGAGCAUCACCUGGACCCGCCGGAAUGGCGAGGAGUUGAAAACCCACGUCAACAUCUCUGAGAGCCACCCCAAUGCCACCUUCAGUGCCAUAGGCAAGGCCACGGUGUGCGUGGAGGACUGGGAGUCGGGCCAGGAGUUCACCUGCACAGUGACCCACACGGACCUGCCCUCGCCGCUGAAGCACACCAUCUUCAGGCCCAAGGAAAACGCCAAGCACAUGCCCGCGGUGUACGUGCAGCCACCCAGCCGGGAGCAGCUGAGCCUGCGGGAGUCGGCCUCAGUCACCUGCCUGGUGAAGAGCUUCUCACCCCCAGACACCACUUGCCACCACUGCCCCCACCCCUGCCUCAUCCACUGGACUCCCACCUGCCUCUCAAAGCCCUGA